rnacentral:rRNA from 1 species
AAACCAACCGGGAUUGCCUCAGUAACGGCGAGUGAAGCGGCAAAAAGCUCAAAUUUGAAAUCUGGCACUUUCAGUGUCCGAGUUGUAAUUUGUAGAAGUAGUUUUGGGACUGGUCCUUAUCUAUGUUUCUUGGAACAGGACGUCAUAGAGGGUGAGAACCCCGUAUGAUGAGGCCCCCAGUUCUUUGUAAAACGCUUUCGAAGAGUCGAGUUGUUUGGGAAUGCAGCUCUAAGUGGGUGGUAAAUUCCAUCUAAAGCUAAAUAUUGGCGAGAGACCGAUAGCGAACAAGUACUGUGAUGGAAAGAUGAAAAGAACUUUGAAAAGAGAGUGAAAAAGUACGUGAAAUUGUUGAAAGGGAAGGGCAUUUGAUCAGACAUGGUGUUUUGCGCCCUUUGCUCCUUGUGGGCGAGGAUACGCAGCUCACUGGGCCAACAUCAGUUUUGGGAGCAGGAUAAAUCUGUAGGAACGUAGCUUUCUUCGGGAAGUGUUAUAGCCUACGGGAAUACUGCUACCUGGGA